AAACCGCAGUUCGCCGCCGCCGCCGCCGGGCACCCAGCCCCAGGGGGGCGGGCUGGAGGGAGGGGGCGGGCGCUGGCCGGGGGACCCCCGCAACCAUGGCGGGCGGGGAGUGGGCUGCCGAGCCGCUUCACCUGCCGCAGAGGGGGCGGCCGGCGCCGCUUCACCUGCCGGAGCGGGAGGCCACCGAGGCGAGGCCGAGGCGGCGGCGCGCUCGGCGGCGCCUCCGGGUCCUAGAACCGCAUCCUCCCGCUCGCCUCGGGCGAGGGAUUGGCCGGGUCUGGGUGAAGGGGAUCACGGCCUGGGGAUUGGAGGGGCACAUCUUCUCCGCACCGAGGAUCUCAGCGACUGCGAGCACGGCUCGGAGACCCACGGUGGUGCAGCGUUGGGGCGCCAGGGCUGCGUUCCCGUCUCGCGUCCCGGACUGAGAAGGUGGGAACCCCCUUCCAGGCCCCCCACCUUUUAUUUCUCUCCUCCCCUGCUUAGCCCAGAGACGAGCUGAGGACGAGGGGGAGCCAUCUCCAAACAGGAACUCCUAAACAGGGUGGGGGGCGCGGACGCAGGCCAGUGGAGACCCCCGCCACCUGUCCCACCUCGACCAACCGUGCGCCUGUGCAGGGCACCCCUACAGGUUUUAGAAUGGGGGCACCUAUGGAAUAUGGCAGGCUGCGAGAAGCUGGGCCCGCCAAGGUGGUCCCAAGGAGGAGUGGGGGGUUGCGGAAAGGAGGAUGAGAGCCAGCCACAAGGCUGGAAAAGGAGUGGGCACCGCAGAGGAGGGAAAAAGAAUCUUGACACUGUCACCGCCAGGGAUCUAGGGGGGCCUCUUACCUUGGAGAAUAACAAUCUCUGAUGUCUGCUAAUUACAGAAAUACUUUCAGAGCUCUUUCAUUCAUCCUGACAAUGGCCAGAGAAGGUAGGUAUUGGUAGCCUUAUUUUAGAGAUGGGGAAACUGAGGCUGAGAGUAGGUAAGUAAGCUGUCCAAGGGCACUCAGCUAACAAAGGACAGAAGCAAGCCUCCUCACUGUCUACCUCCAAAACCUACACUGGCUUGGAGUUGCUGUCCUGGCCCUCCACUGCCCAUCUCAUGUAGGACGGGAGAGUAUGGGGGGCUGGGGUCCCAUCUAUAGCCUGAAUUUGAGACUUUCAGUUGCUCCUCUCAUUCCCCAUUUAAUUUGUGGGGAUCCCCAACUGACCCCUCCCUACACUUCCAGGGCACUGAGGAGGGAGGGCCCGCUGAAGGAGCCCCGAAUUAUCUCUAGGCCAGGUCAGGAGCCAUUAGUGUCCCCUCCCCUGACAGCAUCCUCCUCCUUCUGCCCUCACAUUCAGAGCCACUGACAAGACUUUAAGCAAGAGACGGAGAGUUAACAUCUAAUCUGGAGGAAGACCCUGGAAGGAGCCAGCCCCUUCCCCCAGGCUGACCUGGUUUAAGCCUUUCUUCUGCCAAGGUCACCAGCACCCCAGAUGGGUGAGAGAUGUGAUCACUGGUUUCGUGGCCUGACCAAGGACCUCCAAGGUGAGUCAAAGCAGAAUUCUCCUUGGGCAUGCAGGGAAAAUGAUCCAUUCCCUGCACACUGCCAUAUUCUCCUUCUCAGACAGACCAGAGCCUUGCCCUUGGGUCCUUGCCCUUGAGAUUAGCUAGGACCUCCUCCUCUUCUUCUCCUUCUUUCUUCUUCUUCUUGUCUCUAUAAGAUAACUGUCGUGGAAGACUUUUUUUUUUCUUUUAAGAUGGAGUCUCUCGCUGUUGCCCAGGCUGGAGUGCAGUGGCUCGGUCUCAGCUCACUGCAACCUCCACCUCCCAGGUCCAAGCAAUUAUCCAGUCUCAGCCUCCUCAGUAGCUGGGACCACAGGUGCGUGCCACCACACCCAGCUCAUUUUUGUAUUUUUAGUAGAGACGGGGUUUUGCUAUGUUGACCAAGCUGGUCUCGAACUCCUGACCUCAAGUGAUCCGCCUGCCUCGGCCUCCCAAAGUGCUGGGAUUACAGGCAUGAGGCACCCCGUCCAGCCUGGAAGACUUUUUUUUUUAAUGAAUAAAAACACAUUUUUUUAAAGAAUGGAUUCCCUGAUUCCUCAAUGGCUGUCUCUUUCAAUUGAACAAUAAACCUUUACUUAGCAUCAGCUACAUGCCCAUCACUGUGCUUGGUCCUGCAGAUUCUGUGGCAGAUGAGAAAUGCCUUGGUCCUUGGGCUGCUUGCAGCCUAGCGAGGGACAGACUUUUAACCUCUCUAGGAGAGUGGCUGCUUCAAGUCAUCCUAUGGGACCAGCUGUUCAUGCUUCCUCUUGCCCAGAACUACUUCUGUGAGAGGAAAAGAGAAGGGUAGGAGCGUGCCCUGCAGCUGGAAACCCAAGCCAGGCGGGGAGCCACGAAUGCAGUAGUUAUCAGACUGUAUCUUCAAUCCUGGGGGCUUCUCAAGCCAUUGCCAGCCACUCUUCACCCAAGGCCUGGUGGAAUAAAGCUGGGCUAAGUAACACCUCUUCUGUGGAAAAUUAUUGUUUCUGCAAGCCUAUAUUCAUUCUCCCUCUCUCUCAUGCUGAUCAGAACUGUGAGUUACAAAAAAAAUGAGAAGAUGGAAUCAAUUAUUACGUAGUAAAUUUCAUUUGCUUGGCAGGAGGUAUCUUUCCCAUCUUGGCCCACAGAGGAGGAAAUCCUAGAAGGGAUGACUGAAGCUUGGGACUAACACAUUGGUGGAUCUGUGCUACCCCCUGCUGGCCGUAGACGGUAUGACAGCCAAGAUAGGGCAAGGCUUCGAGGGGCGAUGGAUGGAUUCACCGCAGCGGCGACAUUUCUGGACUGUUGUCACCUUCAGUGCAGUCACUGGGAAUAUUCAGAACCCAGGUGAUUGAUAAGGUUUUCCCAGGGAUCUCUUCUCUCCCCUUCACCAUUACUCAGUAGGAGCUUCCUUAAAAACGGAAAACGAGAGGCCGGGCGCGGUGGCUCACGCCUGUAAUCCCAGCACUUUGGGAGGCGGAGGCGGGCGGAUCACGAGGUCAGGAGAUCGAGACCAUCCUGGCUAACACAACCCCGUCUCUACUUAAAAUACAAAAAAUUAGCCGGGCGUGGUGGCACGCGCCUGUAGUUCCAGCUACUCAGGAGGCUGAGGCAGGAGAAUCGCUUGAACCCGGGAGGCAGAGGAGGUUGCAGUGAGCUGAGAUGGCGCCACUGCACUCCAGCCUGGCCGACUGAGACUCCAUCUCAAAAAAAAAAAAAAAAAAAGGAAAAAGGGGCCGGGCGCGGUGGCUCACGUCUAUAAUCCUAGCACUUUGGGAGACCAAGGCGGGCAGAUCACGAGGUCAGGAAUUUGAGACUAGUGUGGCCAACAUGGUGAAACCCCAUCUCUACUAAAAAUACAAAAAAUUAGCCGGGUGUGGUGGCGCAUGCCUGUAAUCCUAGCUACUCGGGAGGCCGAGGCAGGAGAAUCGCUUGAACCCAGGAGGCCGAGGUUGCAGUGAGCCGAGAUCACGCCAUUGCACUCCAGCCUGGGCGACAGAGCAAGACUCCGUCUUGAGGGAAAAAAAAAAAAAAAAGAAAAAGGGGCCAGGCACCUGUAAUCCCAGCACUUUGGGAGGCUGAGGAGGGAAGAUCGCUAAAACCCAGGAGUUCAAGACCAGCCUGGGCAACAUGGUGAGACCCCAUCUCUACAAAAAAUGCAAAAAAAAAAAAAACAAAAACAAAAAAAAAAACAGCUGGGCAUGAUGGUGCGCACCUGUAGUCCCAGCUACUCGGGAGGCUGAGGUGGGAGGAUUAUUUGAGCCUGAGAGGUCAAGGCUGCAGUGAGCCAAGAUCGCAUCACUGCACUCUAGCCUGGGUAACAGAGCAAGACCCUGCCUCAAAAAAAAAAAAAAAAAAGGAAAAAGGUUAUUACACAGUUCAAAAGAGAAACAAAGUGCAAAAGCAUGUGCAAAGAAAGUAAAGUCCCUCCUGGCCAAGUGCGAUGGCUCAAGCCUGUAAUCUCAACACCCUGGGAGGCUGAAGUGGGUAGAUCAUUUGAGGUCUGGAGUUUGAGACCAGCCUGGCCAACAUGGUGAAACCCCGUCUCUACUAAAAAUAUAAAAAUUAGCUUGGCGUAGUGGCGGGUGCCUGUAAUCCCAGGUACUCGGGAGGCUGAGGCAGGAGAAUCACUUGAACUUGGGAGGCGGAGGGUGCCGCGAGCCAAGAUCACGCCAGUGCACUCUAGCCUGGGCAACAGAGCAAGACUCCAUCUCGAAGGAAGGAAGGAAGGAAGGAAGGAAGGAAGGAAGGAAGGAAGGAAGGAAGGAAGGAAGGGGAAAGAAAGGAAAGAUCUCUUGCCAAUCAGCCUCCCUGUUGCCCUGUUUCCCAUUCCCUCCCCAGAGGCAACCACUCUUAACAGUUUUUUUGUUUUUGUUUUUGUUUUUUUUUAGACAGAGUCUCACUCUGUUGCCCAGGCGGCUGGAGUGCAGUGGUGUGAUCUCAGCUCACUGCGACCUCCGCUUCCCAGAUUCAAGCAAUUCUCCUGCCUCAGCCUCCUGAGUAGCUGGGACUACAGGUGUGUGCCACCACGUUCAGCUAAUUUUUGUAUUUUUAGUAGAGACGGGGUUUCACCAUGUUGGCCAGGCUGGUCUUGAACUCCUGACCUCAAGUGAUCCACCCGCCUUGGCCUCCCAAAGUGCUGGGAUUACAGGUGUGAGCCACCGCGCCUGGCCUCUUAACAGUUCUAAUGUAUCUUUGCAGAGCUAUUUGGAGCAUAUGCUGUGUAUAUGUGCGUGUGUGUGUGACACAAAUGAUAGCACACGCUCUACACUGUUCAGCACCUGCUAUUUUCAUGUCAUAAUAUACCUGCCUGUAGAUAGUCAACAUAGUUUUCCAUCGUAUGGUGUGUCACAAUUUAUUUACCAUUCCCCUCCUAGUGGAUAUUUAUGUAUGUCCGCCUUUUAUUACUACAAACAAUGCUAAUUACAGGAAAUAUCUUGGUACAUAUAUUUGCAGACAUAUGUGUGUGUGUGAAAUAAAUUUAUAAGUAUGGCAAUUCUGGGUCAAAGAUUAUGUGCUCUUAAAUGUUUUAUAGGUUUUCACAGAAUUGCCCUCCAAAAAUUUUGUACCAAUUUACAAUCCCCAACAACGGAUGAGAUCACCUGUUUCCCCAAAUCCUCACAAACAGGUUAAUAUCAGGCCUUUUGAUCUUAGGUGAUGACUCUUUAAAAGUCCUGCUCACAGAGCAGUUGAUGAUCUGUCUUUUUCUUUGGGCCGCGGGUUUCUCCAAGGAAGGGACUGUGUCUUUCUCAUACCUACAUCCCCAGUGAAGGACUUGACACCAUCCUUGGGAGUUACUCAAGAAGUGUCUGCUAAAUAUUGAGUGAAAGAAACAGAGCUGCAUUUUGGCAGGCUGGGAGGGAGAGGGUAAAAGGUUAGGUUUGAACAGGAGGCCUGCUUUUUUUUUUUUUUUUUGAGAUGGAGUCUCACUCUGUUGCCCAGGCUGGAGUGCAGUGGCGCGAUCUCAGCUCACUGCAACCUCCAAGGAGGACUGCUCUUUAGGGCCACUUUCUCUUCCAGACCCUGGUCAAGCCUCUGCCCCAAAUCCAAAAGCCUUCCUCUUGCAGGAGCCUCCCAGGUUGCAAGGUCUGAGGUUGAAGGCCCAGAACUCCCAGUGCAGCUUUCACCCAGCUCUGCUGCAUUCCAGGGAUGGGCCCCAUCAUCCCCAAGCUGCCUGAGAACUGGAAACAAACUAGGUGUCCAGCUUUAGGGGAUCAGUUAAACCACUGUCCUAUAGAACUUUCUGCAAUGAUGAAAAUGUUCUCUAUCUGCCCUGUCCAAUAUGGCAGCCACUGGCCACUCGUAGCUACCGAGUAUUCAAGCUGUAGCUAGUUCAACUAAGGAAAUAAAUAAAUGUUACUUAAUUUUAAUUAAUUUCCAUUUAAGUAGCCAUGUGUGGCUACAUAUUGGACAGUGAAGGGUUCAGUAAAUUAUGAUAUAGCCCCACAAUGGAAAACUAUGCAGCUGUAAAAAAAAAAAAUAAUAAGGAUGCCAAGAAAAAUGGAAAGAUCUUCAGGAUAUAUUUUGAAACAAAAAUGUGGUACAGGCUGUGUGCAGUGGCUCACGCCAAUAAUCCCAGCACUUUGGGAGGCCAAGGUGAGAGGCCGAGGCAGGAGGAUCACUUGAGUCCAGGGGUUCAAGACCAGCCUGGUCAACAUAAUGAGACUUCCGUCUCUACAGAAAGUGAAAAAAAAAAAAAAGACAGCAUGGUGGUAUAUGAAUGUAGUCCCAUCUACUCAGGAAGCUGAGGUGGGAGGAUUGCUUGAGCCAGGGAAGUUGAGGCUGCAGUAAGCUGUGAUUGUGCCACCACACUCCAGCCUGUGUGACAGAGCAAGACCCCAUCUAAAAAAAAAAAAAAAGGCCAGGCACGAUGGCUCACACAUGUAAUCCCAGCACUUUGGGAGGCCGAGGACCGUGGAUCACCUGAGGUUGGGAGCUCAAGACCAGCCUGACCAACAUAGAGAAACCUCAUCUCUACUAAAAACACAAAAUUAGCUGGGUGUGGUGGCACAUGCCUAUAAUCCCAGCUACUCAGAAGACUGAGGCAGAAGAACCACUUGAACCCAGGAGGCGGAGGUUGCGGUGAGCCAAGAUAGUGCCAUUGCACUUCAGCCUGGGUAACAAGAGCGAAACUCUGUCUCAAAAAAAAAAAUGUGGUUCAGAACAGUAUACAUAGUAUGUCAUCUUUUUUGAAAGAAAGGCAGGUAGGCCGGGCGCAGUGGCUCACACCUGUAAUCCCAGCACUUUGGGAGGCCGAGGUGGGCGGAUCACGAGGUCAGGAGAUUGAGACCAUCCUGGCUAACGCGGUGAAACCCUGUCUCUACUAAAAAUACAAAAAAUUAGCCGGGCGUAGGUGGUGCACUCCUGUAGUCCCAGCUACUCGGGAGGCUGAGGCAGGAGAAUGGCGUAAAACCCGGGAGGCUGAGCUUGCAGUGAGCCAAGAUCGCGCCACUGUACUUCAGCCUGGGAGACAGAGCGAGAUUCCGUCUCAAAAAAUAAAAAAAAAAGAAAAAGAAAGGCAGGUAGAGGAGGCUGGAUGUGGUGGCUCAUGCCUGUAAUACCAGCACUUUGGGAGGCCAAGGGGGACAGAUCACUUGCAGAAAUGUGAGACCGGCCUGGACAACAUGGUGAAACCCCAUCUCUACACAAAAUACAAAAAUUAGUUGGACGUGGUAGUGCGCACCUGUAGUCCCAGCUACUCAGGAGGCUAAAGUGGGAGGGUUGCUUGAGCUGGGGAAGUCAAGGCUGCAGUGAGCCAAGAUUGCACCACUGCACUCCAGCAGGGGUGACAGAGGGAGACAGCAGGAGUGACAGAGUGAGACCCUGUCUCAAAAAAAAAAAGAAAAGAGCUUUGCACAGUGGUAGUAUCGUAGCCAAUGAAUGAAAGGGAGGUGGAAAUAAAAAUAAAUGUUUAUAUUUGCUUGAAUUUGCAUAGGGAAAGCAAUAACAGUGGGUGACCUAUAGGGAGCUGGGGAAUCCUGUUGCGGGGGUAGGCAAGGACAGGGUGGGAACAGAGCUUUCCAGUGAAUUUCUUUAUAUUUCAUUUUGGUUGUUGAAACAUGUACAUAUAUUACCUAUUCAAAAAGUUAAAUUAAGGUCAGGUGCAGUGGCUCAUGCCCGUAAUCCCAGUACUUUGGGAGGUUGAGGUAGGAGGAUCACUUUACCCCAGGAGUUGGAGACCAGCCUGGGCAAUAUAGUGAGACCUCCUUUCUACAAAAAGUUUACAAAUUAGCCAUAAGCCAGGUGCGGUGGCUCACACCUGUAAUCCCAGCACUUUGGGAGGCGGAGGCAGGCAGAUCACUUGAGGUCAGGAGUCCGAGACCAGCCUGGCCAACAUGGUGAAACCUCAUCUCUACUAAAAAUACAAAAAUUAGCUGGGAAUGGCAGCAGGUGCCUAUAAUCCCAACUACUUGGGAGGCUGAGACAGGAGAAUCGCUUGAGCCCGGGAGGCAGAGGCUACAGUGAGUCAAGAUCACGCCACUACACUACACUCCAGCCUGGGCAACAGAGCAAGACUCCGUCUCAAAAAAAAAAAAAUUAGCCAUAUACGGUGACACGCUCCUGUAGUCCCAGAUACUUGGGAGGCUGAGAUGGGAAAGUCACUUGAGCCAGGGAAGUUGAGGCUGCAGAGAGCCAAGAUCGCGCCACUGCUCUCCUGCCUGUGCGACACAGUGAGACUAUGUCUCAAAAAAAUGAAAAGGUGGCUGGGCACAAGGCUCACACCUGUAAUCCCAGCACUUUGGGAGACUGAGGCAGGCAGAUCACUUGAGGCCAUGAGUUCGAGACCAGACUGGCUAACAUGGUAAAACCCCAUCUCUACUAAAAAUACAAAAAUUAUCUGGGUGUGGCAGUGUGUGCCUGUAGUCCCAGCUACUAGAGAGGCUGAGGCAGAAGAAUCACUUGAACCCGGGAGGCAGAGGUUGCAGCGAGCCGAAAUUGUACUACUGCACUCCAGCCUGGGUGGCAAAGCGAGACUCCCUCUCAAAAAAAAAAAAAGUAAAUUAAAAUUAAAGCAAAUUGCUUGCUAUUUAACCACGAGGGCUGCUCUCUCCCUCUUCUUGGCAACUCGUGAUAGUCACUACGUUAUCCUUUCUUUUUUUUUUUUUUUUUUUUGAGACAAAGCCUUGUUCUGUCGCCCAGACUGGAGUGCAGUGGUGUGAUCUCAGCUCACUGCAACCUCCGCCUCCUGGGUUAAAGCAAUUCUUCUGCC
rnacentral:lncRNA from 1 species